rfam:Angiostrongylus costaricensis strain Costa Rica genome assembly, scaffold: ACOC_contig0002848
UCCCAUGUGGUCUAGUGGUGACGAUUCGUGGUUUUCACCCACGCGGCCAGGGUUCGAUUCCCGGCAUGCGAG